rnacentral:misc_RNA from 1 species
GGUAAGAAUAACCCCCAGCACCUAGUUCCAGCAAAAUCCUCGCUCGGCUAAUUUCAAAGAGCACCAAUUCGUAUCCUUAUGCUCAUAUGCUGCAAUAAAACACCACAAAAUUCUUUCCACCACAAAACAGAAACUUGCAAUUGAGCAAAAACGCAUCAACAUAAACCCCAAAAAUUCUUAAUAAACCACCAAGUACAAUUCAUUUUUCACAGCCAAAACCAAUAUAAUUACCAAAUACUAAAAGGGGGAAAAACCAAUUAAGAUACUCUUUAACUGCCCUAAUGGUAACAAAAUAACAACCCUAAACCAUCAGAAAAUCGACAUUGGUAUCAACGAAAUUCACAAUUGAAACAAAA